rnacentral:rRNA from 1 species
UACGAAGGGGGCUAGCGUUGUUCGGAAUCACUGGGCGUAAAGCGCACGCAGGCGGAUUGAUAAGUCAGGGGUGAAAUCCCGGAGCUCAACUUCGGAAUUGCCUUUGAUACUGUCAAUCUCGAGUCCGGGAGAGGUGAGUGGAAUUCCUAGUGUAGAGGUGAAAUUCGUAGAUAUUCGCAAGAACACCAGUGGCGAAGGCGGCUCACUGGCCCGAUACUGACGCUGAGGCACGAAAGCGUGGGGAGCAAACAGG